GCCAAGAGAUCAAAAAGACAAGCUUUCGACCCUUUCUCAGACCCGUUCGGCCCCGGCGCAGGCGCUGGAAGUUGUCAACCGCUACAGGCCCCAACCAACGGUAACAUCAACUGUGGCGACAACAUCCCCUUCUAUACCUGCACAGCUCGAUGUAACGAUGGUUAUAAAUUCGAAAGUAAUUCGGCCUUCGUAGAACGGGAGUGUGACUCUGCGUCCGGAGAGUAUUUCCCUAAAGAUGGGGAAACCCUUAAUCCCGGGGAAAAGCCAACA